rnacentral:lncRNA from 1 species
AAGGUCUCGCUAUGGUGGUGCAAGACCCGCUGCUCUGCGACCUUCCGAUCCAGGUUACUUUAGAAGAGGUCAACUCCCAGAUCGCACUGGAAUAUGGCCAGGCGAUGACUGUCCGUGUGUGCAAGAUGGAUGGAGAGGUAAUGCGUCCUAUGUGUGGCGGACGUACCAUCUGACCUCAGCUGGGGAGAAGCUCACAGAGGACAGGAAGAAGCUCAGAGACUAUGGCAUCCGGAACCGAGAUGAGGUUUCCUUUAUCAAGAAGCUUAGGCAAAAGUGAACACCAGACACAUGGAGCUGACCUUCCCCAGCAAGAUGGCGCCCUUUGCUUGUCCUCAGGGGAAAGGGUGUUGGUGUAGCUGCAUCCCUGGAGUGCCCAGGUGGAAUGUGGGAAAUUCCUCUGCCCUUUAUUUCCCUUUGAACUUGGCCCGAGGGUCCUAUGUGGUUGUGGGCCUGGACUACAGAAUAAAUAUGUUUGCUUUGUAUCUUGUAAAAACC